AGUGCUGGCGGUGCCCAUCGCAGGGGAGAGCACAGAGCGGGUGCUGCAGCGCAGUGACCACCUCGGCUCUGCAGACACUGAAAGGACAGAGAGGGGCAGGGAGCAAGGAGGUGGCAGGGCAGAGGACACAGUGGGAGGGAAAAGGGGCUAGGGGACUAGCCCCGGCACUGCAGGCCCCAGGGCUCGUACU